GAUGUAUCUUUGUUAUUUAUUAUUCAUAGAAAAUACACCUGACUCCAUCCAUUGACUUCUAUAAGAAAUUAGCCUUGGACUGUUCUGGUCAACAGGUAGCUGUUGACUUAUUCCUUCUCAGUGGACAGUAUUCUGAUUUGGCUUCUCCGGGUAAGUUCUUCAUGAUUGUUUUCUUCAGUGAAUGGUGAAAUGACAUAUGACGUUAUUCUAAGUAGAAGGCAACGUAAGAGCAUUUAUUCCCUUGAAUAAUGCCCAGGCUGGUCUCAAUUUCCCCUUCCCCCCAGCCUUCUAAGCAGCUGGGGGCUGCAGGUGUGCACAAUAGCCUCCUGCUGAUCAGUUUAACCAGUAAUAAAUCUUAUAGUGGGCUAUGCUAAUUUAGUAGGAGAGAAAUAGAGAAGUUUCUAUACCACUAAUGGAUUAUUCUUUUUGACAGGACCUUGAGAAGUUAGAGAAAAGCUGAGUGAAAUGCCUGCAGUUACUUUGGUGUGGUAAUAGUAGCAUCAUUUAAAAGGAGUUUGUGGGAGUGUCAGAAGGAGGAGCAUUUGGGGUUGGGAACCAGCAGGAGUCUGGAGGAUGAGAGGGACUUCCUGUCUCUGCCCAAUGUCAACCCAGAUGCCAGGUAUACAGUACAGAUGUCAGCGGAAAAGAGUCUUCCUGACAUGCAGUUGGGUUCUUUUCAGUCAGCACUCUUGUAUACAUCAAGCAAAGGUGAAAGAAGAAUACUAUCCGUACUUUGUGUUUGCCAGUAGUUUCAACUCUGAAUGAAGUCUUUCUGGAAGCUGAUGUUCAAGCAAUUUCAGGGUUAUUGGCCAAUAUGGCUGUAAUCACCUCCUCACUUCCUCGGGGAGCCCUCAGCAUCAAUGACAGAAUCAACCCUCAGCCCCCUGUUCUUCAGCUCUCCACGGAGAAACUGAGCAGAGAUGGCGCUUUCCUCCUGGAUUCAGGCUCUGUGAGUAGUUUGACUUCCUGACCCCCUCACUGUACCACUGUUCCUUUUUAGCAUUAGGUUUCCUUCCCCAUGGUAUCUCU
rnacentral:lncRNA from 1 species